rnacentral:pre_miRNA from 1 species
UGCCAAGUAUAAAUAUGCCCCAUGCAAUAUUUGGGAUAUACUUAUGCUAAAU